UUUUGUUGCUAUUCAAGUACUUUCAUGGAAAACUCUUUGGAAUCUAUCCAUCAACUCGAUGAUUGCAGUUGGCGCAGAUUGGAAGAAACUUUUUCCGGCUACUAUUAUUCAAGCUCGACUAAAGGAAUCGUCACCAAGAGGAACCAGAGCAAAUAGUUGAAUGAUAGGCUCUUUGCACUUUGAGCAAUGGUCCCCAAUAUUAGUAAGAAGAUGGACAAGGCAUCAAUAGUCAAAGAUAUGAAUGAUUAUAUUCAACUAUUGCGUGGUCAAGAGAGAACAAUACAAGCUGAGUCGACGAAAAAUCGAGUUGAUAUGAGGGGAUCAAGUAUUUAAAUUCUGGAAGUGCAUUUGUGGGAGACAAAAGAGUGUUGGUGAACCUAAAAUGUAGCAAGAGAAGAGACACAAUUGUUAGGCUUUGUGAGGUGUUAGUAUCUGAAGCCCUAUACAAUUGUUUAUUCCUGGAUUUUAAAACCUGUUUCGUUUACAAAUCAAUCUUACCGAAAAGUGAAACAAGUUAUAUUACACCUUUUUGUUUGAACCUUAUGUAUGCUUAUAUGUCAGUCGUGCUUCUUUUUAUAUAUGUUUUC
rnacentral:lncRNA from 1 species